AUGAACGCUGGCGGCGUGCCUAAUACAUGCAAGUCGAGCGAACAGACGAGGAGCUUGCUCCUCUGACGUUAGCGGCGGACGGGUGAGUAACACGUGGAUAACCUACCUAUAAGACUGGGAUAACUUCGGGAGACCGGAGCUAAUACCGGAUAAUAUAUUGAACCGCAUGGUUCAAUAGUGAAAGACGGUUUUGCUGUCACUUAUAGAUGGAUCCGCGCCGCAUUAGCUAGUUGGUAAGGUAACGGCUUACCAAGGCAACGAUGCGUAGCCGACCUGAGAGGGUGAUCGGCCACACUGGAACUGAGACACGGUCCAGACUCCUACGGGAGGCAGCAGUAGGGAAUCUUCCGCAAUGGGCGAAAGCUUGACGGAGCAACGCCGCGUGAGUGAUGAAGGUCUUCGGAUCGUAAAACUCUGUUAUUAGGGAAGAACAAAUGUGUAAGUAACUAUGCACGUCUUGACGGUACCUAAUCAGAAAGCCACGGCUAACUACGUG
rnacentral:rRNA from 1 species